ACGGGAGGCAGCAGUGGGGAAUAUUGCACAAUGGGGGAAACCCUGAUGCAGCAACGCCGCGUGAAGGAAGAAGGUUUUCGGAUCGUAAACUUCUAUCAACAGGGAAGAAAGAAAUGACGGUACCUGAAUAAGAAGCCCCGGCUAACUACGUGCCAGCAGCCGCGGUAAUACGUAGGGGGCAAGCGUUAUCCGGAAUUACUGGGUGUAAAGGGAGCGUAGGCGGCAUGUCAAGCCAGAUGUGAAAGCCCGGGGCUUAACCCCGCGGAUUGCAUUUGGAACUGGCAAGCUAGAGUACAGGAGAGGAAAGCGGAAUUCCUAGUGUAGCGGUGAAAUGCGUAGAUAUUAGGAAGAACACCAGUGGCGAAGGCGGCUUUCUGGACUGAAACUGACGCUGAGGCUCGAAAGCGUGGGGAGCAAACAGGAUUAGAUACCCUGGUA
rnacentral:rRNA from 1 species